rnacentral:lncRNA from 1 species
GGGGAAUGAAACAAAACGAAAACAAAAAACCAGGGCCCCAGUAUUAGAGUUUCUAAUUCAAUAGGUACAGGAUGGGGCCUGAUAAUUUGCACUUUUAACAAGUUUCCAGGUGCUGCUGCUGCUGCAGAUCUGGGAACCACACUUUGAGAACCACUGAACAAGACAUUAUGUCAUUGGUCCCUAUUAAAAAAAAGAAAGCCAUCUUCAAAUGAUCUUCACACUGGCAGAGCCAUAAGCUGCGAUGGAACCUAACCUCUGUGCCCCUUCAAUGUGGAACAUGUGGUCAUCAAAGAAGAUGUGGGGCCGGAUCUUCACCAAGAUGGGACUUUUGGGGGCUCCAGCAAGGAAAAGAGCUUCGUCUAUCUCUAGACCCCAGCGUCGAAGGGUCUUCAGCACACGGGCGCCUGAACUGGCUGCACUCCUAGCUGUAACCAGCCAUCAUCCAUGGAAAGUCCAGAUUAGCCUCCUGGAUGGAUUUGUGAGAAGCAGAGCCUCUCCUCCAAGCCAGAGAAGCCAUUGUGUACCAGCUCGCCCUAUUAGCAUACCAUGUGCCCAGGAGUAAACAGUGCCCAGAGAUGCUCUCUGCACCACACCACCACUGCUGGGGUCGGGGAGCGGAGUUGGUGAUCCAGGAAUGUUUUCCUGUUUCUUCAGUGCCUCUUUCAGUGAUAUGAAGUUAAAACCAGGGACACAGGAGAGAAUUAAGCUGACACCAGGAGACACAGCUGACACUGGGGAGAAGUGGUGAAGACAGCAUCCUGGAAGAGAUAUUUCCAAUGCAGACUAUGGAGAGAUAGAGAAGAGAUAAGAAAGAGAAAGAGGUGAGUCGUGAGUGCAGUUGUAAAAUAUAAAUACUUUUAAA